rnacentral:lncRNA from 1 species
GUAACUUUUUAAAAAGUUGCACAAGUAUGCAGUGCACACUCCACUUGUCUGUAUUACACACUUGACUUGCAGCGCUGUACAAUGCAGUGCAUAGCCUUCUUACUGUUUUUUGUGGUGUUGUUGCACAUAUAGACUAUAAUCUCAAUAUAUAAAAUUGGUUUGUUUACAAAUUAUUUUCUAUUUUUAAACCAUGUUGAAUUAUAUUAGAUUAGAGGAAAGUCAUUUAGGCAUCAUUUUUGUAGCCUAAUUUACCUAGGUUUUGGUCUGUAGAUAAUUGUUUGCAUUGUUCAUGUUUUAAUCUUGCUGAGAUCUGUUCUUAAUAAACAUUUUUUUAUAAUAAUAGGUCUAUGCUUCUUCAGUGUUGCAAUGUUAAUUAAUAUCAUUCUGAACAGAUUUCGAUCAUUUAAACAGCCUGAAAUUUUUUUUAAAAAAAGCUAAGUUUUAACGCUCUACAAUUCGAUUUUAAUUCGGGCUUGGGCUCAAAAUGGCAGUGUACGGGGCGGGGCGGACUCCGGCUGAACAUGCACGGCUGUGGAUGAGGUAGGGGUGUGGUUUGAAAGAUGUGGGGCCCUCUAUGCCUCUCAGUCUUGACUCUGUCUCUAUCAUUCUCUCUUUUAUUAUUUUAAUCUCAGUCUUGAUUUGUUUUUCUCACCCUCACAGGUUACAACUUCAGAGAACCCACAGCAUGUCGAGUGGUAUGUUCACUACCAUGUUACACACACAAAAAAACCUCAGUAGACCAGAACUUGAUAACUUACUUAAAAUAUAAAUGAAACCUGAAAAACAUCUACAGUCUAUGGAAAACACAACUUAACAAAAAAUAUAAAGUAAACAAAUGAACAGAACAAAGUAUUCUAGGUCCUGAAAUUUGUUACAGGUGAAGAAGUACAAAAGUGUGCGUUUCUGUGUUUCAGAUGUGGACAGGAAGGCGGUUCUCCGCACCACCAAAGUUAGAACAGCACUGAAGAAGGAUGGCAGCUGGAUCCGCCGGAGUACUGACCAAGAAGACCCCCCUCCACCACUUAAGCCUGUAGUUUUGGCUAAGCCUCUUUCACCCACAGUGAAGUCCAGCACCACGUCCACCCCAGAGACACUACAAAGCCCUGCCCCUCAGACUUCCUCCCCUUUAAGCCCCGCCCCACAGACCACUUCGACUUUAAGCCCCGCCCCACAGACUACUUCCCCUUCAAGCCCCACCCUACAGACCACUUCCCCCUCAAACGCUGCCCCUCAGAUAAUUUCCCCCUCAAACUCCUCCCCUCAGAUGACUUCCCCUCCCAACGCCACCCCUCAGACAAGUCCCACCUCUGGUGCCAGCCCCAAUCCUCCUACAGAAGCAAAAGGCAGGGUGGGUGGCUCAUACGUGCUUUCUGCAAUGAGGAAGUUUGAGUAAGUAUUAAAUGCACACAGGCAUUUAGAGGGACAGUUACAUUGUGUUUUGUAUUAGCAUGUCACAUAAACAUUAGCACAA